rnacentral:rRNA from 1 species
CUUGAGUCUUAUAAGAGGUCCAGCCUGCCCAGUGACUCUGUUCAACGGCCGCGGUAUCCUAACCGUGCGAAGGUAGCGUAAUCACUUGUUCUUUAAAUGAGGACUAGUAUGAAUGGCACUACGAGGGUUAUACUGUCUCCUUUUUCUAAUCAGUGAAACUAAUUUUCCCGUGAAGAAGCGGGAAUAUAACUAUAAGACGAGAAGACCCUAUGGAGCUUUAAACAACCCAGCAAUUACUUUUAAAUUUAUAAAUUUCAGAAUGCCCACUUUUUAAGCAAUAUGUCUGCAAGUUUUUGGUUGGGGUGACCAUGGAGAAUAAUAUAACCUCCAUACUGAAUGAAUUAUCUUCUAAGCUAAAAAUUACUAAUUAAAGCAUCAACACACUGACAUCCAUUGACCCAAUAUAUUUGAUCAACGAACCAAGUUACCCUAGGGAUAACAGCGCAAUCCACUUCAAGAGCCCCUAUCGACAAGUGGGUUUACGACCUCGAUGUUGGAUCAGGGUAUCCCAGUGGCGCAGCC